UAAUACGUAGGGUGCGAGCGUUAAUCGGAUUUACUGGGCGUAAAGCAUGCGCAGGCGGCGGUUCAAGUCAGGUGUGAAAUCCCCGAGCUUAACUUGGGAAUUGCGCUUGAAACUAGAUCGCUAGAGUACGGCAGAGGGGGGUAGAAUUCCACGUGUAGCAGUGAAAUGCGUAGAGAUGUGGAGGAACACCGAUGGCGAAGGCAGCCCCCUGGGCCUGUACUGACGCUCAUGCAUGAAAGCGUGGGGAGCAAACAGGAUUAGAUACCCUGGUAGUCCACGCCCUAAACUAUGUCAACUAGUUGUUGGAAGAGUCAAAUCUUUCAGUAACGUAGCUAACGCGCGAAGUUGACCGCCUGGGGAGUACGGUCGCAAGAUUA
rnacentral:rRNA from 1 species